rnacentral:rRNA from 1 species
AACGAACGCUGGCGGCAGGCCUAACACAUGCAAGUCGAGCGCCCCGCAAGGGGAGCGGCGGACGGGUGAGUAACACGUGGGAACGUACCCUUUGCUACGGAAUAGUCUCGGGAAACUGGGGGUAAUACCGUAUGUGCCCUUCGGGGGAAAGAUUUAUCGGCAAAGGAUCGGCCCGCGUUGGAUUAGGUAGUUGGUGGGGUAAUGGCCUACCAAGCCGACGAUCCAUAGCUGGUUUGAGAGGAUGAUCAGCCACACUGGGACUGAGACACGGCCCAGACUCCUACGGGAGGCAGCAGUGGGGAAUAUUGCGCAAUGGGCGAAAGCCUGACGCAGCCACGCCGCGUGAGCGAUGAAGGCCUCGGGUCGUAAAGCUCUGUGGGGAGAGACGAAGAAAGACCUGUGAAGAGCAGGCCUUGACGGUAUCUCCUUAGCAAGCACCGGCUAACUCCGUGCCAGCAGCCGCGGUAAUGUACAGUGU